rnacentral:rRNA from 1 species
GUGUCAGCCGCCGCGGUAAUACCAGCCCCGCGAGUGGUCGGGGCGCUUAUUGGGCCUAAAGCGCCCGUAGCCGGCCUGCUAAGUCACCGCCUAAAGACCCGGGCUCAACCCGGGGACUGGCGGUGAUACUGGCAGGCUAGGGGGCGGAAGAGGCCAGGAGUACUCCCGGAGUAGGGGCGAAAUCCGUAGAUCCCGGGAGGACUACCAGUGGCGAAAGCGCCUGGCUAGGACGCGCCCGACGGUGAGGGGCGAAAGCCGGGGCAGCAAACCGGAUUAGAUACCCGGGUAGUCC